rnacentral:rRNA from 1 species
AACGUAGGUGGCGAGCGUUAUCCGGAUUUAUUGGGCGUAAAGAGCUCGUAGGCGGUUCAGCAAGUCGGGUGUGAAAACUCUGGGCUCAACCCAGAGACGCCACCCGAUACUGCUGUGACUAGAGUCCGGUAGGGGAGUGGGGAAUUCCUGGUGUAGCGGUGAAAUGCGCAGAUAUCAGGAGGAACACCGGUGGCGAAGGCGCCACUCUGGGCCGGCACUGACGCUGAGGAGCGAAAGCGUGGGUAGCAAACAGG